rnacentral:rRNA from 1 species
GUAAUUCCGGUGAAGAUGCCGGAUACCUGCGACAGGACGGAAAGACCCCAUGGAGCUUUACUGUAGCUUGACAUUGGGUCUUGGUACUACAUGUACAGGAUAGGUGGGAGGCUUUGAAACCAGGACGCCAGUUUUGGCGGAGCCAUCCUUGGGAUACCACCCUUGUAGUACUGGGACUCUAACCAUAGGCCAUGAAUCUGGUCUUGGGACACUGUCAGGUGGGCAGUUUGGCUGGGGCGGUCGCCUCCCAAAAGGUAACGGAGGCGCUCAAAGGUUCUCUCAGUACGGUCGGAAAUCGUACGUAGAGUGUAAAGGCAAAAGAGAGCUUGAUUGCAAGACAUACAGGUCGAGCAAGGAUGAAAAUCGGACUUAGUGA